rnacentral:rRNA from 2 species
UGGGGAAUAUUGCGCAAUGGGGGAAACCCUGACGCAGCGACGCCGCGUGGGUGAUGAAGGCCUUCGGGUCGUAAAGCCCUGUCGGAGGGGAAGAAGGACUCUCGUGCAAAUAGUUCGAGGGUUUGACGGUACCCUUAGAGGAAGCACCGGCUAACUCCGUGCCAGCAGCCGCGGUAAUACGGAGGGUGCAAGCGUUGCUCGGAAUUACUGGGCGUAAAGGGCGUGUAGGCGGUUUCGUAUGUCUGGCGUGAAAGCCCCGGGCUCACCUCGGGAAGUGCGUCGGAAACUGCGAGACUAGAGUCCCGGAGAGGGAGGUGGAAUUCCAGGUGUAGCGGUGAAAUGCGUAGAUAUCUGGAAGAACACCGGUGGCGAAAGCGGCCUCCUGGACGGUGACUGACGCUGAGACGCGAAAGCGUGGGGAGCAAACAGG